rnacentral:rRNA from 1 species
UACAGAGGGUGCAAGCGUUAAUCGGAAUUACUGGGCGUAAAGCGUGCGCAGACGGUUGCGUAAGUCAGAUGUGAAAGCCCCGGGCUCAACCUGGGAAUUGCAUUGGAUACUGGCAGGCUAGAGUGCGGUAGAGGGUAGUGGAAUUCCCGGUGUAGCAGUGAAAUGCGUAGAGAUCGGGAGGAACACCAGUGGCGAAGGCGACUACCUGGACCAGCACUGACACUGAGGCACGAAAGCGUGGGAGCAAACAGGG